AGUGAACGCUGGCGGUAGGCCUAACACAUGCAAGUCGAACGUCAGCACAGUAAGAGCUUGCUCUUACGGGUGGCGAGUGGCGUACGGGUGAGGAAUACAUCUGCAUCUACUUUUUCGUGGGGGAUAACGUAGGGAAACUUACGCUAAUACCGCAUACGACCUACGGGUGAAAGCAGGGUAUCUUCGUACCUUGCGCGAUUGAAUGAGCCGAUGUCGGAUUAGCUAGUUGGCGGGGUAAAGGCCCACCAAGUCGACGAUCCGUAGCUGAUCUGAGAGGAUGAUGAGCAACAGUGGAACUGAGACACGGGCGAGAGACGUACGGGAGGUAGCAGUGGGGAAUAUUGAACAAUGGGGGAAAGCCUGAACCAGCCAUACCGCGUGGGUGAAGAAGGCCUUCGGGUUGUAAGGCCCGUUUGAUGGGAGAUAAAAGAAGCAGGUUAAUACGCAGCUGUUGUGACGGUACCAAAAGAAUAAGGACCGGCUAAAUUCGUG
rnacentral:rRNA from 1 species